ACCAACGGCUAGCUCUCUGCAACUCUCACAUGGUCACCCACUGAAGCUAAGCAGGGCUUCGCCUGGUCAGUACCUGGAUUGGAGACCACAAGGGAAAGCUAGGUUGCUGUCGGAA
rnacentral:rRNA from 1 species